CUCAGGAAUGACGCUGGCGGCGUGCCUAAUACAUGCAAGUCGAGCGAAUGGAUUAAGAGCUUGCUCUUAUGAAGUUAGCGGCGGACGGGUGAGUAACACGUGGGUAACCUGCCCAUAAGACUGGGAUAACUCCGGGAAACCGGGGCUAAUACCGGAUAACAUUUUGAACCGCAUGGUUCGAAAUUGAAAGGCGGCUUCGGCUGUCACUUAUGGAUGGACCCGCGUCGCAUUAGCUAGUUGGUGAGGUAACGGCUCACCAAGGCAACGAUGCGUAGCCGACCUGAGAGGGUGAUCGGCCACACUGGGACUGAGACACGGCCCAGACUCCUACGGGAGGCAGCAGUAGGGAAUCUUCCGCAAUGGACGAAAGUCUGACGGAGCAACGCCGCGUGAGUGAUGAAGGCUUUCGGGUCGUAAAACUCUGUUGUUAGGGAAGAACAAGUGCUAGUUGAAUAAGCUGGCACCUUGACGGUACCUAACCAGAAAGCCACGGCUAACUACGUGCCAGCAGCCGCGGUAAUACGUAGGUGGCAAGCGUUAUCCGGAAUUAUUGGGCGUAAAGCGCGCGCAGGUGGUUUCUUAAGUCUGAUGUGAAAGCCCACGGCUCAACCGUGGAGGGUCAUUGGAAACUGGGAGACUUGAGUGCAGAAGAGGAAAGUGGAAUUCCAUGUGUAGCGGUGAAAUGCGUAGAGAUAUGGAGGAACACCAGUGGCGAAGGCGACUUUCUGGUCUGUAACUGAC
rnacentral:rRNA from 1 species